rnacentral:rRNA from 1 species
UAGCACCAUAGUUAACAACGUACGUGAACUGCUUAGAACCCGAUGAACCUAAAUAUCCAGCGUUAGGUUAAAUUGCAUUAUUAUGAGUAUAUUAUUUUAUAAUGUAUUAAUAGUGUGCUGAGAAAGUAUUUUUUUCAUAAAAAGGGGCUUUCUGUUAAUACAAUUUAUAUAUUCUUUUAUAUAUUAUUUUUACAUUGUAAAUCAUAAAGAGUCAUGAUUAAUGGUAGUUUACAUAUAAAUUAAUUAAUGUAAGAUCGAUGAAUUUCUAGAUAAAUAGUUAUUUAUUAAUUAAUUGAAUCGAUAUAUAAUGCUUACAUAAUUUUUUAAUAUAUAAUAUGUACAUGAACAGUAUUAAAUACUUUAAUGUUUUAAAUUCAUUUAUAUUAUAACAAUGCUAUAG